rnacentral:rRNA from 1 species
UGGGGAAUUUUCCGCAAUGGGCGAAAGCCUGACGGAGCAAGACCGCGUGAGGGAGGAAGGCCUACUGGUUGUAAACCUCUUUUGAUAGGGAAGAAGAAAGUGACGGUACCUAUCGAAUCAGCAUCGGCUAACUCCGUGCCAGCAGCCGCGGUAAUACGGAGGAUGCAAGCGUUAUCCGGAAUUAUUGGGCGUAAAGCGUCCGUAGGUGGUUAUUCAAGUCAGCUGUCAAAGGAUGGAGCUUAACUCCAUAAAGGCAGUUGAAACUGUGUAGCUAGAGUGCGAUAGGGGCAAGGGGAAUUCCCAGUGUAGCGGUGAAAUGCGUAGAUAUUGGGAAGAACAUCGGUGGCGAAAGCGCCUUGCUGGGUCUGCACUGACACUGAGGGACGAAAGCUAGGGGAGC